UGGGGAAUAUUGCACAAUGGGGGAAACCCUGAUGCAGCAACGCCGCGUGAGUGACGAAGGCCUUCGGGUUGUAAAGCUCUGUCUUUGGGGACGAUAAUGACGGUACCCAAGGAGGAAGCCACGGCUAACUACGUGCCAGCAGCCGCGGUAAUACGUAGGUGGCAAGCGUUGUCCGGAAUUACUGGGCGUAAAGGGAGCGUAGGCGGCUGUUUAAGUGAGAUGUGAAAUACCCGGGCUUAACUUGGGAAUUGCAUUUCAUACUGGAUAGCUAGAGUGCAGGAGAGGAAAGUGGAAUUCCAAGUGUAGCGGUGAAAUGCGUAGAGAUUUGGAGGAACACCAGUGGCGAAGGCGACUUUCUGGACUGUAACUGACGCUGAGGCUCGAGAGCGUGGGGAGCAAACAGG
rnacentral:rRNA from 2 species